rnacentral:rRNA from 1 species
UGGGGAAUAUUGCACAAUGGGGGAAACCCUGAUGCAGUGACGCCGCGUGAGCGAUGAAGGCUUUCGAGUCGUAAAGCUCUGUCCUAUGGGAAGAUAAUGACGGUACCAUAGAAGAAAGCCCCGGCUAAUUACGUGCCAGCAGCCGCGGUAAUACGUAAGGGGCGAGCGUUGUCCGGAAUUAUUGGGCGUAAAGAGUGCGUAGGCGGCAAAUUAAGUCAGAUGUGAAAACUAAGGGCUCAACCCAUAGAUUGCAUCUGAAAUUGAUAUGCUUGAGUCAAGGAGAGGAAAGUGGAAUUCCUAGUGUAGCGGUGGAAUGCGUAGAUAUUAGGAGGAAUAACGGUGGCGAAGGCGACUUUCUGGACUUGAACUGACGCUGAGGCACGAAAGCGUGGGGAGCAAACAGG